GCCCGGCCUCAAAACGUCGUUAGCAUGGCAUCGACGACAGAACUAGCAACCAAAGAAGAUUUCGAUGAAGAAACAAUUUCUCACCAUGAUCCUGGUUGAAUCCCGCGUACAGUAGUCCGUUCCCAUGUGUGUUUGAUGGUGGGCUGACCGGGUCUGCAGCUGCCAUUUUCCGGUGGGAAAGAGAAAUGGCCAUGUAUUUACUAGGAAAGGAAGCUCAUGCACCAUGGCAGAAGAGGAAAUGCCGGACUGUUGAAUGGGAAACAAGAACAAACAAUGAGGCAUGAGGAUUGGGUGUUGAGGGACCACUUGCCACAUUGUCCAAGUCCAAAAGGAGUGCAUCCCUCAGACCAUCCAGUACAUGGACAUCCUGUACCAGUCUGAUCUGAGCGUGGGGGUCCAGUUAUAGAGACUACAGCACAUUGACCCUGUGGACGGACAUGCCAAUAACUCAUCAAAUAUGAUACAAUAGUGUAAAACAUUGAAUUUGUAGAUGCAUCUAGGGCUGUGGCCAUCACAGUAAUUUACUGUUAAUUAACAUAAACACAUUUAAGCAUUUCCUGGCUUCUACACAAGCCACAGAUGCAGACCUUUGGAACAUCUAAAAAAAAAUUAAAGUCUAAUAAAUCCAUGUAAUAUAGCCUACACCUUCACAAUAAAUCUGAUUUAUAUUAGACAGGUCUAAAG